rnacentral:rRNA from 1 species
CGAACGGGUGAGUAACACGUGGGUAACCUGCCCUUCACUGGGGACAACCGAGGGAAACUUCGGCUAAUACCGCAUAACGUGCGUUGCUUUAAGGCGACGUACCAAAACUCCGGUGGUGAAGGAUGGGCCCGCGCCAGAUUAGCUUGUUGGUGGGGUAAUGGCCCACCAAGGCGACGAUCUGUAGCUGGUCUGAGAGGACGAUCAGCCACACUGGAACUGAGACACGGUCCAG